AUUGAACGCUGGCGGCAGGCCUAACACAUGCAAGUCGGACGAGUGGCGGACGGGUGAGUAAUGUCUGGGGAACUGCCCGAUGGAGGGGGAUAACUACUGGAAACGGUAGCUAAUACCGCAUACCAUCAGAUGUGCCCAUAUGGGAUUAGCUUGUAGGUAGGGUAACGGCUCACCUAGGCGACGAUCCCUAGCUGGUCUGAGAGGAUGACCAGCCACACUGGAACUGAGACACGGCCCAGACUCCUACGGGAGGCAGCAGUGGGGAAUAUUGCACAAUGGGCGCAAGCCUGAUGCAGCCAUGCCGCGUGUAUGAAGAAGGCCUUCGGGUUGUAAAGUACUUUCAGUGGGGAGGCGUUACCGGCAGAAGAAGCACCGGCUAACUCCGUGCCAGCAGCCGCGGUAAUUC
rnacentral:rRNA from 1 species